rnacentral:rRNA from 1 species
AUUGAACGCUGGCGGCAGGCCUAACACAUGCAAGUCGAACGGCAGCGGGAAAGUAGCUUGCUACUCUUGCCGGCGAGCGGCGAGCGGGUGAGUAAUGCCUGGGGAGCUGCCCAGUCGAGGGGGGUAACUACUGGAAACGGUAGCUAAUACCGCAUACGCUCAACGUGGGAAAGCAGGGGACCUUCGGGCCUUGCGCGAUUGGAUGAACGCAAGUGGGAUUAGCUAGUUGGUGAGGUAAUGGCCCACCAAGGCAACGAUCCCUAGCUGGUCUGAGAGGAUGAUCAGCCACACUGGAACUGAGACACGGUCCAGACUCCUACGGGAGGCAGCAGUGGGGAAUAUUGGACAAUGGGGGAAACCCUGAUGCAGCCAUGCCGCGUGUGUGAAGAAGGCCUUCGGGUUGUAAAGCACUUUCAGCGAGGAGGAAAGGUUGGUAGCUAAUAACUGCCAGCUGUGACGUUACUCGAAGAAGAAGCACCGGCUAACUCCGUGCCAGCAGCCGCAGUAAAAC